rnacentral:rRNA from 1 species
UACGGGGGGGGCAAGCGUUGUUCGGAAUUACUGGGCGUAAAGGGUGCGUAGGCGGGUCUUUAAGUCAGGGGUGAAAUCCUGGAGCUCAACUCCAGAACUGCCUUGAUACUGAGGAUCUUGAGUACGGGAGAGGUGAGUGGAACUGCGAGUGUAGAGGUGAAAUUCGUAGAUAUUCGCAAGAACACCAGUGGCGAAGGCGGCUCACUGGCCCGUAACUGAACGCUGAGGCACGAAAGCGUGGGGAGCAACGG